UACGGAGGGGGCUAGCGUUGUUCGGAAUUACUGGGCGUAAAGCGCACGUAGGCGGCUUUGUAAGUCAGAGGUGAAAGCCUGGAGCUCAACUCCAGAACUGCCUUUGAGACUGCAUCACUCGAAUGCGGGAGAGGUGAGUGGAAUUCCGGGUGUAGAGGUGAAAUUCGUAGAUAUUCGGAAGAACACCAGUGGCGAAGGCGGCUCACUGGGCCGAUAUUGACGCUGAGGUGCGAAAGCGUGGGGAGCAAACAGG
rnacentral:rRNA from 1 species